rnacentral:rRNA from 1 species
GAUGAACGCUAGCGGCAGGCUUAAUACAUGCAAGUCGUGGGGCAGCAUGAGUAGCAAUACUUGAUGGCGACCGGCAAACGGGUGCGGAACACGUACACAACCUUCCGAUAAGUGGGGAAUAGCCCAGAGAAAUUUGGAUUAAUACCCCGUAACAUAUAGAGUAGGCAUCUUCUAUAUAUUAUAGCUUCGGCGCUUAUUGAUGGGUGUGCGUCUGAUUAGGUAGUUGGCGGGGUAACGGCCCACCAAGCCUACGAUCAGUGGCUGAUGUGAGAGCAUGAUCAGCCACACGGGUACUGGGACACGGGCCCGACUCCUACGGGAGGCAGCAGUAAGGAAUAUUGGACAAUGGGCGAAAGCCUGAUCCAGCCAUGCCGCGUGAAGGAUUAAGGUCCUCUGGAUUGUAAACUUCUUUUAUUUGGGACGAAAAAAGGGAAUUCUUUCCCACUUGACGGUACCAAGUGAAUAAGCACCGGCUAACUCCGUGCCAGCCGCCGCUGUAACAC